rnacentral:misc_RNA from 1 species
AAUCAGCAGAUGAUAGAUAGAGAUUAUUUAUUUAUUUCUUGGAAUUUGGAGUUGGUGGUGUCUAGCUGAGGGACUAUGACUUCCGGGACUAGGUUACCAACAUGGAACGAAAGAGAGAACAACAAGAGGAGAGAAAGGAGAAGGAGAGCAAUAGCAGCAAAGAUCUUCGCAGGACUAAGGAUGUACGGUAACUAUAAGCUUCCUAAGCACUGUGACAACAACGA